AAGUAAGUCUCUAUGGUAGAGGAGAUUAGCCGAUAACUAAUCUUUAACUUGUUCAACUCAAGUCUUACUUU
rnacentral:tRNA from 1 species